UACGUAGGCAGCAAGCGUUGUUCGGAGUUACUGGGCGUAAAGGGUGCGUAGGCGGCCCUGUAAGUAUGGUGUGAAAUCUCCCGGCUUAACUGGGAGGGUGCGCUAUAGACUGCGGGGCUCGAGUGUGGGAGAGGGAAGUGGAAUUCCUGGUGUAGCGGUGAAAUGCGUAGAUAUCAGGAGGAACACCGGUGGUGUAAACGGCUUUCUGGACCAUAACUGACGCUGAGGCACGAAAGCGUGGGUAGCAAACAGG
rnacentral:rRNA from 1 species